AUCAUUUUAGUCAAAGUAUGAUAUAUUUGGGCUUGAAGUGAGAAAUCCAAAGUGGGAACUUUGUGGAAAUCAGUGUCAAUGAUGUGUAGCUAAGUUAUUUCUGAUUUACGUGUCAGCUAUAGGGCUGGCUUUAGUUCAUUUGUAACCACCUACCUACAAACAUGUUAGACCUAACACGUGUGGGUUCCUUGCUGUUUACAACCUGUUGGUACUGUGGCUUAAUGUGUCUGCAAUGCACUUCGACUGUUGGGAGAUGUGGGAUGGGCUGACGUCGGUGAAACGGCUACCCAUCCCAGCCCCCCACCGCUCUGCAUGGCCACAGAAGUGAAACCAUGGCCAGACAGACACCUUCCUCUUGAGUAGGACUGAAGACUCCCAAGAUGAGUGAUGCAGACCAAGGCUGAGCACGCAGCAAAAUUGCAAUAUUGACAAAAUCCUCUCAAGCUCUGUCAGGUUGGAUGGGGAACGUCGCUGCACAGCUAUUUUCAGGUCUCUCCAGAGAUGUUCGGUCAGGUUUAAGUCCAGGCUCUGGCUGGGCCACUCAAGGACAUUCAGAGACUUGUCCCGAAGCUACUCCUGCGUUGUCUUGGCUGUGUGCUUAGGGUCGUUGUCUGUUGGAAGGUGAACCUUCGCUCCAGUCUCAGGUCCUGAGUGCUGUGGAGCAGGUUUCUAUCAAGGAUCUCUCUGCACUUUGCUCCGUUCAUCUUUCCCUCGAUCUUGACUAGUCUCUCAGUCCCUGCCGCUGAAAAACAUUCCCACUACAUGAUGCAGCCACCACCAUGCUUCACUGUAGGGAUGGUGCCAGGUUUUCUCCAGAUAUGACUUUUGACAUUUAGGCCAAAUAGUUUAGUCUUGAUUUCAUCAGACCAGAGAAUCUUGUUUCUCAUGGUCUGAGAGUCUUUAGGUGCCUUUUUUGCUAACUCCAAGCGAGUUGUCAUGUGCUUUUACUGAGGAGUGGCUUCCGUCUGGCCACUCUACCAUAAAGGCCUGAUUGGUGGAGUGCUGCAGAGAUGGUUGUCCUUUUGGAAGAUUCUCCCAUCUCCACAGAGGAACUCUGGAGCUCUGUCAGAGUGACCAUCGGGUUCUUGGGCACCUCCCAGUCGAAGGCCCUUCUCCCCCAUUGCUCAGUUUGGCCGGGCCGCCAGCUCUAGGAAGAGUCUUGGUGGUUCGAAACUUCUUCCAUUUUAGAAUGAUGGAGGACACUGUGUUCUUGGGAACUUCAAUGCUGCAGACAUUUUUUGGUACCCUUCUUCCUCAGAUCUGUGCCUCAACACAAUCCUGUCUCGGAGCUCAACGGACAAUUCCUUCUGCCUCAUGGCUUGGUUUUUGCUCUGACAUGCACUGACAACUGUGGGACCUUAUAGAAACAGGUGUGUUCCUUUCCAAUUGAAUUUACCACAGGUGGGAUCUGAAUACCUUUGUAAAUACAGUAUUUCUGUUUUUCAUUUGAAAUGAAUUUGCAAAAAUAAAACUAUUUUUGAUUUGUC